CUAAGGCUCCAGAGGAAGCCACGGCUAACUCUGUGCCAGCAGCCGCGGUAAUACAGAGGCGGCAAGCGUUGUUCGGAAUUAUUGGGCGUAAAGAGCACGUAGGCGGCCUUGCAAGUCAGUUGUGAAAGCCUUCCGCUUAACGGAAGAAUGCCAGCUGAUACUACAGGGCUUGGGUACGGGAGGGGAGAGUGGAACUUCUGGUGGAGCGGUGAAAUGCGUAGAUAUCAGAAGGAACGCCGGCGGCGAAAGCGACUCUCUGGCCCGAAACUGACGCUGAGUGUGCGAAAGCUAGGGGAGCAAACGGGAUUAGAUACCCCGGUAGUCCUAGCCGUAAA
rnacentral:rRNA from 1 species